rnacentral:rRNA from 1 species
GUGUCAGCCGCCGCGGUAAUACGUAGGGGGCAAGCGUUGUCCGGAAUUACUGGGCGUAAAGGGCGUGUAGGCGGCCUUUUAAGUUUCGUGUGAAAACCCCGUUUUCAAGGCGGGAGGUGCACGGGAUACUGGAGGGCUUGAGUGCAGGAGAGGGAAGUGGAAUUCCAAGUGUAGCGGUGAAAUGCGUAGAUAUUUGGAGGAACACCAGUGGCGAAGGCGACUUUCUGGACUGCAACUGACGCUGAGACGCGAAAGGGUGGGGAGCAAACAGGAUUAGAUACCCUGGUAGUCCACGCUGUAAACGAUGAAUGCUAGGUGUGGGAGGUAUCGACCCCUUCCGUGCCGCAGUUAACACAAUAAGCAUUCCGCCUGGGGAGUACGGCCGCAAGGUUGAAACUUAAAGGAAUUGACGG